GCGGAUGUAGCCAAGUGGAUCAAGGCAAUGGAUU
rnacentral:tRNA from 1 species